rnacentral:lncRNA from 1 species
CACGCAGGCUCUCUCGCCAUGACUCCAAGGAAUCCCAGGACAUUUCACCACCACGAAGGCGUACCAGGCAUGACUCAGAGGAGCCACAGGACCUCUCUCCACCACGCCGGAAGGGGCGGCAUGAUUCUGAAGAACCCAAAGACCUCUUGCCACCAUGGAGGCGCGUGAGGCAUGAUUCUGAGGAACCCAAAGACCUCUCGCCACCACGGAGGCGCACGAGACAUGAUUCAGAAGAGCCCGAAGACCUCUCUCCCCCACGCAGACGGACGCGGCACGACUCUCAUGAACCCAAGGACAAAUUGCCACCACUGAAAAGGCAGGCUUUGGGUGAUGGGGACAUUUC